rnacentral:lncRNA from 1 species
AUCAAUUAGUGCAUAUAUGUGGUAGCUACUAGCUAGACAAUAGAGAUUUGUGUAACUCAAAAGGAUGGAGUACUAGCAAAAUUAAUUAAAAUCUACAAAUUAAACACUUGUGCGCGAUUGAACGAAUGCUACCAAGUCACCGUUUACAAAAUUAAAAUUGAAGUCCUACAAGAAUGACCGUACCACACAUCUUUCGACUGGAUUACAACCUGGGGACUAUUAAUUAAGCCUCUUUCACAUGAUAAAGUUAAUAGUAGAUGAAGUCAAUGAAACUUAAUUUUAGGCAAAACUAGAGCGUCAUAUAUUUUGGAGCAUACAUAAUAUGAUACUCCCUCUAUACUUAUAUAAAAAAGUCAUUUUAGACAAAGAUUGAGUGAAACAUUGAAAAUAUAAAUCAUGAAUAAGUUUUAAGUUGU